AAAACCAAGUCUCUAAGCAAUGGAUGUCUUGGCUCCUCACACGAUGAAGAACGUGGCAUAAUGUGUUAAGUAACCGGAGUUGCAAACAUCAUGACAGGUUAAUCUUUGAAUGCAAAUUGCGCUAAACUCGAUCUCGGUCGAGAAGCAUGGGUGUGACAGUACUACAUCUUUUAUAAUAAUUCUUAUUCUAAGCGAAUAAGUAAAUAAUAUAUAAGACAAACAACACGUAGUCUGCCAUACGCAGGAAGACCCGCUGAACUGAAGCAUCUCAUUAAGCGGAGGAAAAGAAACUAACUAGGAUUCCCUUAGUAAAGGCGAUCGAAAAGGGAACAGCCCAACGUCUUAAUCCCGCAAGGGAAAUGUAGUCGGUUCA
rnacentral:ncRNA from 1 species